rnacentral:rRNA from 1 species
GAUGAACGCUGACAGAAUGCUUAACACAUGCAAGUCUACUUGAACUUCGGUUUGGGUGGCGGACGGGUGAGUAACGCGUAAAGAACUUGCCUCACAGAUAGGGACAACAUUUGGAAACGAAUGCUAAUACCUGAUAUUAUGAUUUUAGGGCAUCCUAGAAUUAUGAAAGCUAUAUGCACUGUGAGAGAGCUUUGCGUCCCAUUAGCUAGUUGGAGAGGUAACGGCUCACCAAGGCGAUGAUGGGUAGCCGGCCUGAGAGGGUGAUCGGCCACAAGGGGACAGAGGCGCGGCCAUUACGCCUACGGGAGGAAGGAGUGGGGACUAUUGGAAAAAGGACCAAGAGUAUGAUCCAGCAAUUCUGUGUGCACGAUGAAGUUUUUCGGAAUGUAAAGGGCUUUCAGUUGGGAAGAAAAAAAUGACGGUACCAACAGAAGAAGUGACGGCUAACUACGUG